UACGUAGGGUGCGAGCGUUAAUCGGAAUUACUGGGCGUAAAGCGUGCGCAGGCGGUUCGUUAAGUCAGAUGUGAAAGCCCCGGGCUCAACCUGGGAACUGCAUUUGAAACUGGCGGGCUUGAGUGUGGCAGAGGGGGGUGGAAUUCCGCGUGUAGCAGUGAAAUGCGUAGAGAUGUGGAGGAAUACCGAUGGCGAAGGCAGCCCCCUGGGCCAAUACUGACACUGAUGCGCGACAGCAUGGGGAGCAAACAGG
rnacentral:rRNA from 1 species